rnacentral:rRNA from 1 species
GAUGAACGCUGGCGGCAUGCCUAAUACAUGCCAGUCGAGCGAACGGACGAGAAUCUUGCUUCUCUGAUGUUAGCGGCGGGCGAGUGAGUAACACGUGGAUACCUACCUAUAAGACUGGGAUAACUUCGGGAAAGCGUAACUAAUACCGGAUAAUAUUGUUGACCGCAUGGGUCAAAAGUGAAAGACGGUCUUGCUGUCACUUAUAUAUGGAUCCGCGCUGCAUUAGCUAGUUGGUAAGGUAACGGCUUACCAAGGCCACGAUGCAUAGCCGACCUGAGAGGGCGACCGGCCACACUGGAACUGAGACACGGUCCAGACUCCUACGGGAGGCAGCAGUAGGGAAUUUUCCGCAAUGGGCGAAAGCCUGACGCAGCAAUGCCGCGUGAGUGAUGAAGGUCUUCGGAUCGUAAAACUCUGUUAUUCGGGAAGAACAUAUGUGUAAGAAAAUGUGGACAUCUUGACGGUACCUAAUGAGAAAGCACCGGCUAACUACGUG